ACCCGCACAAGCAGCGGAGCAUGUGGUUUAAUUCGAAGCAACGCGAAGAACCUUACCAGGGCUUGACAUCCCUCUGACAGUCCCUUAACCGGGACCUUCUUCGGACAGAGGAGACAGGUGGUGCAUGGUUGUCGUCAGCUCGUGUCGUGAGAUGUUGGGUUAAGUCCCGCAACGAGCGCAACCCUUGUCUUUAGUUGCCAUCAUUCAGUUGGGCACUCUAGAGAGACUGCCGAGGACAACUCGGAGGAAGGUGGGGAUGACGUCAAAUCAUCAUGCCCCUUAUGUCCUGGGCUACACACGUGCUACAAUGGCUGGUACAAAGAGACGCAAGACCGCGAGGUGGAGCAAAUCUCAAAAACCAGUCCCAGUUCGGAUUGUAGGCUGCAACUCGCCUGCAUGAAGUCGGAGUUGCUAGUAAUCGCAGAUCAGAAUGCUGCGGUGAAUGCGUUCCCGGGUCUU
rnacentral:rRNA from 2 species